UACGUAGGGGGCGAGCGUUGUCCGGAAUCAUUGGGCGUAAAGCGCGUGUAGGCGGCCCGGUAAGUCCGCUGUGAAAGUCCAGGGCUCAACCCUGGGAUGCCGGUGGAUACUGUCGGGCUCGAGUCCGGAAGAGGCGAGUGGAAUUCUAGGUGUAGCGGUGAAAUGCGUAGAUAUCUGGAGGAAUACCGGUGGCGAAGGCGGCAUCCUGGACCGACAUUGACGCUGAGGAGCGAAAGCUAGGGGAGCAAACGGG
rnacentral:rRNA from 1 species